UGGUCAAGUUAUUAAGGGUGCAGGGCGGAUGCCUUGGCACUAGGAGCCGAUGAAGGACGUGAUAAGCUGCGAUAAGCUUCGGGGAGUUGCACGUAAACUUUGAUCCGAAGAUUUCCGAAUGAGGAAACUCACUUAGAGUAAUGUCUAAGUAUCAUUAAGUGAAUACAUAGCUUAAUGAGGGGAACUCAGGGAACUGAAACAUCUAAGUACCUGAAGGAAGAGAAAGAAAUUCGAUUCCGUAAGUAGCGGCGAGCGAACGCGGAUUAGCCCAAACCAAUAAAGUUUUCUUUAUUGGGGUUGAGGACAUACCACAUAUAAGAGGUCAUUAUAGACGAAGAAGUUUGGAAAAACUCAUCAUAGAAGGUAAUAAUCCUGUAGUCAAAAUAAUAAUUCUUUAGGUAUGAUCCAGAGUACCACGGGACACGUGAAACCCUGUGGGAAGCAGGAGGGACCACCCUCCAAGGCUAAAUACUACCUAGUGACCGAUAGCGUAUAGUACCGUGAGGGAAAGGUGAAAAGAACCCCGGGAGGGGAGUGAAAUAGAACCUGAAACCCUGCACUUACAAGCUG
rnacentral:rRNA from 1 species